GACGAACGCUGGCGGCGCGCCUAACACAUGCAAGUCGAACGGAGUUUCCCCUUCGGGGGGAGCUUAGUGGCGGACGGGUGAGUAACACGUGAGGAACCCGCCUUUGAGAGCGGGAUACCGUCUGGAAACGGACGUUAAUACCGCAUAAUGCAGCGAGGCCACAUGGCCAUGCUGCCAAAGAUUUAUCGCUCAAAGAUGGCCUCGCGCCUGAUUAGAUAGUUGGCGGGGUAACGGCCCACCAAGUCUGCGAUCAGUAGCCGGACUGAGAGGUCGAACGGCCACAUUGGGACUGACGAUACGGCCCAGACUCCUACGGGAGGCAGCAGUGGGGGAUAUUGCACAAUGGGCGAAAGCCUGAUGCAGCGACGCCGCGUGAGGGAAGACGGUUUUCGGAUUGUAAACCUCUGUCUUCGGGGACGAAACAAGACGGUACCCGAGGAGGAAGCCCCGGACUAACUACCGUG
rnacentral:rRNA from 1 species